GAUGAACGCUAGCGGCAGGCCUAACACAUGCAAGUCGAGGGGUAUUAGGAGCUUGCUCCUAGGAGACCGGCGCACGGGUGCGUAACGCGUAUGCAAUCUACCUUGUACAGGGGAAUAGCCCAGAGAAAUUUGGAUUAAUGCCCCAUAGUAUAAUUGAAUCGCAUGGUUUAAUUAUUAAAGUUCCAACGGUACAAGAUGAGCAUGCGUCCCAUUAGUUAGUUGGUAAGGUAACGGCUUACCAAGACAAUGAUGGGUAGGGGUCCUGAGAGGGAGAUCCCCCACACUGGUACUGAGACACGGACCCGACUCCUACGGGAGGCAGCAGUAAGGAAUAUUGGACAAUGGUCGGAAGACUGAUCCAGCCAUGCCGCGCGAAGGAUGAAGGCGCUCAGCGUUGUAAACUUCUUUUGUACGGGAACAAAAUGCGACCUGCGGGUUGUACUGAGGGUACCGUAAGAAUAAGCACCGGCUAACUCCGUGCCAGCAGCCGCGGU
rnacentral:rRNA from 1 species